rnacentral:tRNA from 1 species
GCCGAGGUGAUGGAAUUGGUAGACAUGUACGCUUCAGGUGCGUAUGCCGCAAGGUGUGUGGGUUCGACUCCCAUCCUCGGUA